GACGAACGCUGGCGGCGUGCUUUACACAUGCAAGUCGAACGGUGAAGGUGGAGCUUGCUCCGCCGGAUCAGCGGCGAACGGGUGAGUAACACGUGGGCAACCUGCCCCUAACUUUGGGAUAACUACUCGAAAGAGUAGCUAAUACCGGAUAUGAAGUCUGUAGGCGUCUAUGGAUUUGGAAAGUUUUUCGGUUAGGGAUGGGCCCGCGGCCUAUCAGCUUGUUGGUGAGGUAGUGGCUCACCAAGGCGACGACGGGUAGCCGGCCUGAGAGGGCGACCGGCCACACUGGGACUGAGACACGGCCCAGACUCCUACGGGAGGCAGCAGUGGGGAAUAUUGCGCAAUGGGCGAAAGCCUGACGCAGCAACGCCGCGUGCGGGAUGAAGGCCUUCGGGUUGUAAACCGCUUUCAGCAGGGAAGAAGCGAAAGUGACGGUACCUGCAGAAGAAGCACCGGCUAACUACGUGCCAGCCGCCGCAGUAA
rnacentral:rRNA from 1 species